rnacentral:rRNA from 1 species
UGGGGAAUCAUGGUCAAUGGGCGCAAGCCUGAUCCAGCCAUGCCGCGUGAGUGAUGAAGGCCCUAGGGUUGUAAAGCUCUUUUGGCGGGGAAGAUAAUGACGGUACCCGCAGAAUAAGCCCCGGCUAACUUCGUGCCAGCAGCCGCGGUAAUACGAAGGGGGCUAGCGUUGCUCGGAAUCACUGGGCGUAAAGCGCACGUAGGCGGAUUCUUAAGUCAGAGGUGAAAGCCUGGAGCUCAACUCCAGAACUGCCUUUGAUACUGGCGAUCUCGAGUCCGGGAGAGGUGAGUGGAACUGCUAGUGUAGAGGUGAAAUUCGUAGAUAUUCGCAAGAACACCAGUGGCGAAGGCGGCUUUCUGGACUGUAACUGACACUGAGGCACGAAAGCGUGGGGAGCAAACA